GGUCGAGGUCUUAUGGGGUGGCAAUGGGGUCAGGAUAUGGGGUCAAGGUCUUAUGGGGUGGCAAUGGGGUCAGGAUAUGGGGUCGAGGUCUUAUGGGGUGGCAAUGGGGUCAGGAUAUGGGGUCAAGGUCUUAUGGGGUGGCAAUGGGGUCAGGAUAUGGGGUCGAGGUGUUAUGGGGUGGCAAUGGGGUCAGGAUAUGGGGUCAAGGUCUUAUGGGGUGGCAAUGGGGUCAGGAAAGGGGGACGAGGUCUUAUGGGUUUUUAUGGGGUUCUAUGGGGCUCUGUGGGGUUUUAUGGGGUUCUAUGGAAUUUCAUGAGGUUUUAUGGGGUCUCUGUGGGGUUUUGUGGGGUUUUAUGGGGUCUCUGUGGGGCUUUUAUGGGGUUUUAUGGGGUUUUGUGGGGUUUUAUGGGGUCAGGAAAUGGGGCCGAGGCCUUAUGGGGCUGCAAUGGGGUCAGGAAACGCGGCCGUUGACUCUCUGGGGGUUUUUUGGCCCUCGGCGGCAC